AUUGAACGCUGGCGGCAUGCUUUACACAUGCAAGUCGAACGGUAACAGGUUAAGCUGACGAGUGGCGAACGGGUGAGUAAUGCAUCGGAACGUGCCCAGUCGUGGGGGAUAACGCAGCGAAAGCUGCGCUAAUACCGCAUACGAUCUAAGGAUGAAAGCGGGGGACCGUAAGGCCUCGCGCGAUCGGAGCGGCCGAUGUCAGAUUAGGUAGUUGGUGGGGUAAAGGCUCACCAAGCCAACGAUCUGUAGCUGGUCUGAGAGGACGACCAGCCACACUGGGAUUGAGACACGGCCCAGACUCCUACGGGAGGCAGCAGUGGGGAAUUUUGGACAAUGGGCGAAAGCCUGAUCCAGCAAUGCCGCGUGCAGGAAGAAGGCCUUCGGGUUGUAAACUGCUUUUGUACGGAGCGAAAAGGUCUCCUCUAAUACAGGGGGCUCAUGACGGUACCGUAAGAAUAAGCACCGGCUAACUACGUGCCAGCCGCCGCAGUAA
rnacentral:rRNA from 1 species